UAAUGUUUACCACAUAAUGUAAACAAUCAGUGUAUGGCAUGUCAAAAAAAUUUCCAAUUGAAAAUUUAAUCAUUUAUUUAUUGAAUAAAUAUUGUACGUCAAUGUUGUGCGAUCGGUUGCUUUCCCCAGAGAUUCAGAUCGUCGUCGAAAAUGAUCUACUGGUACUGGUGUGAGUCAAAUAAAACCAAGCUCAAGGUUAUGUGAUAUAUAUUUAUGAAAAUCCAUUAUGAUGAAUCUCAAUAUGAACAACAUCGUCAGGAUGGCUCAAAAAAAAUUAAAACCAAAUGCAGUACCAACUUUGUUUGGUGAUGUUUUGAUAGAUUAUUUGAGUAAAAUCCACCAAAAUAAAAGUAACUACAUGAUGUUAGUUGGACUUCAUUUGAAUCACUAAAGCAGUUGUCAACAAUAAACUUAGGUAAAUCUUUUUCCAGACCAUUGCUUGAUGUAAUUAUAGAUGAAUAUACCACUGACAACAAAAAGAGUUUAUUCAAGUUACCAAAGUCUAAUAAUACCAAAUCUUUACCAAGUGAUGAGCAGCAGAUUGAAUUGCCACUAGUAAACUUAGAUGAGGAUCAUUUAGUAUCAAUUUUUACUCAUAAUAUUUAUCCUGAUACUUUCAACAGUUUUUUAUCAAUUCUUGCUGAUGAAUUACAAGCAGAAAUAAUGAAAAAAUAUAAUAAAGGAGUUAUUAAAUUUAAUUUCAUGCUUCAAAAUCAACAUCGUCUUUAUCACCAUGAAAUUUCGAGUUUAAACUAGGAAGUAGAAAGCUUAAAGAAAAUAAAUAUUAGUUUAGACUGUGAAUUACGAGUUGAAUAAGAAAAAAGGAUACACUCAGAAAGACAACGAGAAAAAAUUAAAAACAAGUUUAACAAGCUUCUUAAUGUAUUCGAAAAAUUGUCCAUUUUUAAAAAACCUUUUAAUUGAGUUAUUUUAUUUACUUAUUCAUAGUAUGCGACAGGCAAAAGCCUACUG